UGGGGAAUUUUGGACAAUGGGCGAAAGCCUGAUCCAGCAAUGCCGCGUGUGUGAAGAAGGCCUUCGGGUUGUAAAGCACUUUUGUCCGGAAAGAAAUCCUUGGCUCUAAUACAGUCGGGGGAUGACGGUACCGGAAGAAUAAGCACCGGCUAACUACGUGCCAGCAGCCGCGGUAAUACGUAGGGUGCAAGCGUUAAUCGGAAUUACUGGGCGUAAAGCGUGCGCAGGCGGUUUGCUAAGACCGAUGUGAAAUCCCCGGGCUCAACCUGGGAACUGCAUUGGUGACUGGCAGGCUAGAGUAUGGCAGAGGGGGGUUAGAAUUCCACGUGUAGCAGUGAAAUGCGUAGAGAUGUGGAGGAAUACCGAUGGCGAAGGCAGCCCCCUGGGCCAAUACUGACGCUCAUGCACGAAAGCGUGGGGAGCAAACAGGAUUAGAUACCCUGGUAGUCCACGCCCUAAACGAUGUCAACUAGUUGUUGGGGAUUCAUUUCCUUAGUAACGUAGCUAACGCGUGAAGUUGACCGCCUGGGGAGUACGGUCGCAAGAUUAAAACUUAAAGGAAUUGACGGGG
rnacentral:rRNA from 1 species